CUGUUAUUCUUGAGUGUAGUUGAAGUAGGCGGAAUAUAGCAUGUAACGGUGAAAUGCAUAGAUAUGCUAUAGAACACCAAUUGCGAAGGCAGCUUGCUAAACUAUAACUGACGCUGAGGCACGAAAGCGUGGGGAGCGAACAGGAUUAGAUACCCUGGUAGUCCACGCCGUAAACUAUGAACACUCGCUGUUGGCAAUACACAGUCAGCGGCUGAGCGAAAGCGUUAAGUGUUCCACCUGGGAAGUACGAUCGCAAGGUUGAAACUCAAAGGAAUUGACGGGGGCCCGCACAAGCGGAGGAGCAUGUGGUUUAAUUCGAUGAUACGCGAGGAACCUUACCUGGGCUUAAAUGUAUAUUGACGUACUGAGAAAUCAGUAUUUCUUCGGACAAUUUACAAGGUGCUGCAUGGUUGUCGUCAGCUCGUGCCGUGAGGUGUCGGGUUAAGUCCCAUAACGAGCGCAACCCCUACUUCUAGUUACCAGCAUUUCGGAUGGGGACUCUAGAGGAACUGCCUACGCAAGUAGAGAGGAAGGUGGGGAUGACGUCAAAUCAGCACGGCCCUUAUGUCCAGGGCUACACACGUGCUACAAUGGCCGGUACAGAGGGCAGCUACAUAGCAAUAUGAUGCUAAUCUCAAAAGCCGGUCUCAGUCCGGAUUGGAGUCUGCAACUCGACUCCAUGAAGCUGGAUUCGCUAGUAAUCGCACAUCAGCAAUGGUGCGGUGAAUACGUUCCCGGGCCUUGUACACACCGCCCGUCAAGCCAUGGAAGUUGGGGGUACCUGAAGUCGAUUGCCGUAAG
rnacentral:rRNA from 1 species